rnacentral:piRNA from 1 species
UGUCAAGAGUAUAUUGAGUAUUGACUGUCUC